UCGGCUUGUCGCACCUUUUAUCUUGUGCAGGCCGAAAGCAGUAGCUUGCACUAGCCGGAGUUGAAAUGUUGAGAGGGAGGCAGGAACUUCCGUCUUCCUUGUCUAACAAGGAGCUCUCCAACAGCUUGUUUUUAAAACUGGAUGUGCUGUAAACUGUAGAACCAAAGAAGUUUUGCUUUUGAUGGAAUGUAUUUUAUUUGUUUGCUGAGCAAUCUCAUACUCAAUGUACCUUUCAAGGAUGACUGCUACCAUGCAAAAAUGAACACAAAAGACAAGGUGAACGCCAGAGCAGCAUGGAGCAUAGAGCAGUCAGUUAUUAGAACAAAGACUGGGUCUUCUUGUGCUUCAUGAGACACUGAAGAGUUUUCAUUUCUGUUCUCACUUCUGUUUUACAAAUGCCAUAGUAACUACCUUUACUUUGAAUAAAGUCACUUUGUUCCACAAGUUUUUUAACAGUUUGUGUCAUGGCUUUAAGCUUGAGAUAAUCAGCUAGGUUUCCUUGCUUAAUUUAAUAGAUAGAUGCCAAUUUGAAUGGGGCAUGAAUAGGAUAAACAGCAACAAACAAGAUUAAUGCAAGACCAGUGCUGUAUAGGAACUGUUGAAU